rnacentral:rRNA from 1 species
GACGAACGCUGGCGGCGUGCUUAACACAUGCCAGUCGAACGGAAAGGCCCUGCUUUUGUGGGGUGCUCGAGUGGCGAACGGGUGAGUAACACGUGAGUAACCUGCCCUUGACUUUGGGAUAACUUCAGGAAACUGGGGCUAAUACCGGAUAGGAGCUCCUGCUGCAUGGUGGGGGUUGGAAAGUUUCGGCGGUUGGGGAUGGACUCGCGGCUUAUCAGCUUGUUGGUGGGGUAGUGGCUUACCAAGGCUUUGACGGGUAGCCGGCCUGAGAGGGUGACCGGCCACAUUGGGACUGAGAUACGGCCCAGACUCCUACGGGAGGCAGCAGUGGGGAAUAUUGCACAAUGGGCGGGAGCCUGAUGCGGCAACGCCGCGUGCGGGAUGACGGCCUUCGGGUUGUAAACCGCUUUCGCCUGUGACGAAGCGUGAGUGACGGUAAUGGGUAAAGAAGCACCGGCUAACUACGUG